rnacentral:rRNA from 1 species
GAUGAACGCUGGCGGCGUGCUUAACACAUGCAAGUCGAACGAUGAAGCUCAGCUUGCUGGGUGGAUUAGUGGCGAACGGGUGAGUAACACGUGAGUAACCUGCCCUUAACUCUGGGAUAAGCCUGGGAAACUAGGUCUAAUACCGGAUAGGAGCGCCUACCGCAUGGUGGGUGUUGGAAAGAUUUAUCGGUUUUGGAUGGACUCGCGGCCUAUCAGCUUGUUGGUGAGGUAAUGGCUCACCAAGGCGACGACGGGUAGCCGGCCUGAGAGGGUGACCGGCCACACUGGGACUGAGACACGGACCAGACUCCUACGGGAGGCAGCAGUGGGGAAUAUUGCACAAUGGGCGAGAGCCUGAUGCAGCGACGCCGCGUGAGGGAUAACGGCCUUCGGGUUGUAAACCUCUUUCAGUAGGGAAGAAGCGAAAGUGACGGUACCUGCAGAAGAAGCACCGGCUAACUACGUG